CAGCACCUCAAGUGGUCAGGAUGAUUAUUGGGCCUAAAGCAUCCGUAGCCGGCGCUGUAAGUUUUCGGUUAAAUCUGUACGCUCAACGUACAGGCUGCCGGGAAUACUGCAGCGCUAGGGAGUGGGAGAGGUAGACGGUACUCGGUAGGAAGGGGUAAAAUCCUUUGAUCUAUUGAUGACCACCUGUGGCGAAGGCGGUCUACCAGAACACGUCUGACGGUGAGGGAUGAAAGCUGGGGGAGCAAACCGGAUUAGAUACCCGAGUAGUCC
rnacentral:rRNA from 1 species